UACAGAGGGUGCAAGCGUUGUUCGGAAUUAUUGGGCGUAAAGAGCUCGUAGGCGGUUUGUCACGUCGGAUGUGAAAGCCCGGGGCUUAACCCCGGGUCUGCAUUCGAUACGGGCAGACUAGAGUGUGGUAGGGGAGAUCGGAAUUCCUGGUGUAGCGGUGAAAUGCGCAGAUAUCAGGAGGAACACCGGUGGUGUAAACGGCUUUCUGGACCAUAACUGACGCUGAGGCACGAAAGCGUGGGUAGCAAACAGG
rnacentral:rRNA from 1 species